rnacentral:rRNA from 1 species
GACGAACGCUGGCGGCGUGCUUAACACAUGCAAGUCGAACGGAAAGGCCCUGCUUUUGUGGGUUGCUCGUUUGGCGAACGGGUGAGUAACACGUGAGUAACCUGCCCUUGACUUUGUGAUAACUUCAGGAAACUGGGGCUAAUACCGGAUAGGAUCUCUUGCUCCAUGUUGGGGGUUGGAAAGUUUCGGCGGUUGGGGAUGGACUCGCGGCUUAUCAGCUUGUUGGUGGGGUAGUGGCUUACCAAGGCUUUGACGGGUAGCCGGCCUGAGAGGGUUACCGGCCACAUUGGGAAUGAGAUACGGCCCAGACUCCUACGGGAGGCAGCAGUGGGGAAUAUUGCACAAUGGGCGGAAGCCUGAUGCAGCAACGCCGCGUGCGGGAUGACGGCCUUCGGGUUGUAAACCGCUUUCGCCUGUGACGAAGAGUGAGUGACGGUAAUGGGUAAAGAAGCACCGGCUAACUACGUG